GUAGGUGGCAAGCGUUGUCCGGAAUUAUUGGGCGUAAAGCGCGCGCAGGCGGUUCUUUAAGUCUGAUGUGAAAGCCCACGGCUCAACCGUGGAGGGUCAUUGGAAACUGGAGAACUUGAGUACAGAAGAGGAAAGCGGAAUUCCACGUGUAGCGGUGAAAUGCGUAGAGAUGUGGAGGAACACCAGUGGCGAAGGCGGCUUUCUGGUCUGUAACUGACGCUGAGGCGCGAAAGCGUGGGGAGCAAACAGGAUUAGAUACCCUGGUAGUCCACGCCGUAAACCGAUGAGUGCUAAGUGUUAGGGGGUUUUCCGCCCCCCUUAGUGCUGCAGCUAACGCAUUAAGCACUCCGCCUGGGAGUACGGCCGCAAGGCUG
rnacentral:rRNA from 1 species